rnacentral:rRNA from 1 species
AGAGUUUGAUCCUGGCUCAGGAUGAACGCUAGCGGCAGGCUUAACACAUGCAAGUCGAGGGGCAGCGCGGGGUAGCAAUACUCUGGCGGCGACCGGCGGAAGGGUGCGUAACACGUGAGCGACUUGCCCGUCACAGGGAGAUAACCGGCGGAAACGGCGACUAAUAUCCCAUAUGAUCCGAUGCUACAUGGCGUCGGGUUGAAAGAUUCAUCGGUGACGGAUAGGCUCGCGGGACAUUAGCUGGACGGCGGGGCAACGGCCCACCGUGGCGACGAUGUCUAGGGGUUCUGAGAGGAAGAUCCCCCACACUGGAACUGAGACACGGUCCAGACUCCUACGGGAGGCAGCAGUGAGGAAUAUUGGUCAAUGGGCGGAAGCCUGAACCAGCCAUGCCGCGUGAAGGAAUAAGGCCCUAUGGGUCGUAAACUUCUUUAGACGCAGAGCAAUAAGGGUCUCGUGAGGCCCGAUGAGAGUAUGCGUAGAAUAAGCAUCGGCUAACUCCGUGCCAGCAGCCGCGGUAAUACGGGGGAUGCGAGCGUUAUCCGGAUUUAUUGGGUUUAAAGGGUGCGUAGGCGGCAAGGUAAGUCAGCGGUGAAAGACCAGGGCUCAACUCUGGAAGUGCCGUUGAUACUGUCUGGCUAGAAUGAUUCCGCCGUGGGAGGAAUGAGUAGUGUAGCGGUGAAAUGCAUAGAUAUUACUCAGAACACCGAUUGCGAAGGCAUCUCACGAGGGGUUCAUUGACGCUGAGGCACGAAAGCGUGGGGAUCGAACAGGAUUAGAUACCCUGGUAGUCCACGCAGUAAACGAUGAUGGCUAACUGUCGGGCCUUAUGGGUUCGGCGGCCAAGCGAAAGCGAUAAGCCAUCCACCUGGGGAGUACGACCGCAAGGUUGAAACUCAAAGGAAUUGACGGGGGCCCGCACAAGCGGAGGAACAUGUGGUUUAAUUCGAUGAUACGCGAGGAACCUUACCCAGGCUCGAACGGCAUCUGAAUCGUCCAGAGAUGGGCGAGUCUUCGGACAGAUGUCGAGGUGCUGCAUGGUUGUCGUCAGCUCGUGCCGUGAGGU